UACGUAGGGUGCAAGCGUUAUCCGGAAUUAUUGGGUGUAAAGAGCUCGUAGGCGGUUUGUCGCGUCUGCUGUGAAAACUGGAGGCUCAACCUCCAGCCUGCAGUGGGUACGGGCAAACUAGAGUGCGGUAGGGGGAGAUUGGAAUUCCUGGUGUAGCGGUGGAAUGCGCAGAUAUCAGGAGGAACACCGAUGGCGAAGGCAGAUCUCUGGGCCGUAACUGACGCUGAGGAACGAAAGCAUGGGGAGCGAACAGG
rnacentral:rRNA from 1 species